UUCCUUAAGUCAAUCUAUAAUAAUAUAAUAUUUUUUUUAAGUAAAAAUUGGUUGUUUCGUAGAAACACGCUCCUUUGGUUAUGUCUUCUGUAAUUUUUGAGCGGUGGUUUGAUGGCAGAACCUCCUUUUUUCUUUGAAUUUUCUUAUCAUAUAUCAAGUACUAUUAGUAAGACAAUUUAUGCUUACUAGAUGAAGUUUAGACUUCAGUUUGUUUUAUGUGUCAUGUCAUACUGUAGAUUCUAUGUACUUGGAAUUCUAUCUAGAAAUUUUUAGAGUCAAUUGUAUUGCCUCGGUAAAUGAACCUUUUGGCAGAUUAAAUCUCGUCGAACUCUUCUAUUAGAUUGAACGUAACGUUGAUCACGAUAUCUUAAGUGUGUGUAUAUUAUAUUUUAAAUCUGUUCUACUAGAAAAUAUAGUGAUUUAUUUCAAUUAUACAGAAAAUUAUAUUUAAUCUUUAUAACUUAACAUUUGCCACUUUACUGCGAACACACGGUUAUAUAUUCAAUUAUACACAGCUACUUGAGAGAGCGCUACAGCGUGAAGCGUCUUAAAAGGGCUAUUAUGCUGUCAUAUUGCCUACAUACUUGUAGGCAUUUAAGCAUUCCUACUUACAUAAAUACUAUAAUUUACAAGUAUAUUUUAUUUCAUGUUAAUCAGUAUGUCUAGAGUAGUUGCUCAUAUUAAAUAAAGGGUGUCUAUAUAUGUAAGUUUUGCAUGCAACAUAUCAGACAAAGCUAUAAAAUAUAAUGCUGAUUAAUGGUAAAUUACCAUAUACAAAUGAUAUUAAAAUUUUUAAUGGUGCCAAUAAAAAAAAAAAAUAAAAAAAAUUAAACAAAAAAUAUUUCAACGAUUCCCCUUCAACAUCCACAUAAAAUCAUUAAUUUCGAAUUUUAAACACAAAAUGGCACACCCUUUACAACUACCUUAUUACACAUGUAUGAUUGAAUAUCAAAGCACACGACCAACCAACUUAUCGUUACAGAUCGACAAUUUUCCAAGCCAUUUUAGUGCUCAUCGCCAGUCGGCAGACGUCAGCCGCCAGGCAAUUGUGUCUGUUUGCUUUAUUUGUUUUGGAUUGCAAUUUAUGCAUUUUAUUUGUGAAAAUUGUGUGAGAAAUGUUUAUUGCACUGCAUUUGUUGGCGUUGCUGCACUCGUUAUCUUGUAACAUCGUACACAUACUAAUUUGAGCAAGUGUAGAUUUGCACGUUUGUGUUGUUGCACUCGUGUGCGCGGCCCGUCUAUCUGAACUAUCAAGCAUGACGCCUUGGAAAAUCACUUGAGUUUUGAAUAAUGGAACUCAAAUCUCCAUAAAUAGCCAUGCAAGUCGAUGCACAAGUAGGCAUUUAUGAAAGUAUAUAUAUGCAUAUGUAUUUAAGUGUAGAGAUUUGAAUUCAGCAUUGUUGUAUUUGAAACCCUGGAGCUUUCGCAUUUGAUUUAUUUUUGCACUAGUUACACUUGCUGUGCAUUGAUAAGUGUAUAUAAAAUUACAAUAGUAAGUUGGGCUUCAAAAGAGAUACAUAUAAAAAUGUGUGUAUACUGUAUGUACAUAUAGCACUCGUAUGCAAUAAAAUUGAUCCAUAUUCAAAGUUUACAGUCUUCGAAGGUAUAAAAAUCUAAAAUGAAGUGUUUUUUCUGGAACCCUUAAAAAUGUAUCUAUCGAGUAUUCCGGCAUCUACAAUCGUUUUCUCUCCAUCGAACUAUAUUUUUGAGAUGUCUCAUCAGACCCCGCUAUAAUUUAUUUGCGAAAGUGAUUCGACAUUGUAGUUAAGGUUAAUGCUGGUUUCCAAGUUGACGAUAUAAAUUAGAGGUUAUGACGGCCAACAGAGAAACACGGCAUAUAAUUCCUCUUCCUCAAAAAUCGUUCGGAAUCAAAUCUACCAUAGAGAUUUUAACCCAAUUUUCAGUAUUACUAAUAUUAAUUUCAUGAAAUUAAGAAAAGAUCUCAAAUCUGUAUAUAAUGGGUGUAAUAUAUAAAUGAUUCUUAAGAAUUAAAUUUUUUUCAAAUAGUUCGGUAAGAACGAUCUUUAUACAUCAGCGCCAUCUAUUGUUUUUUCAGCAUUUUAAUCGAAGCAAUGGAGUAUUCACCUUUGAGCUCAUGGUUUCAAACAUCGAAUAUAGCAAAUUAAGCCAAAUAGACAUUCCUCCGAUUUUUUUUUCGAUUAUUCCUUGGUAAAACAUAUCUAAGGGAUAUAAGAAAUCUGAAAUCGGAUCCAGCAUUAAAAACUUGUAGACAUAAAAUUAUUAAACGUAUAAUAUUUCCACCUCUAAUAAACACUUUAUCUCGUCUUGUUAUUCACACAUAUUGAGGCAGUGAAAAAAUUACUAGAAAUUAACAAAGAAAGAAAUGCUAAAGUCAACGAAAUGCUAUGGAAAUCAUGAAGACAAGCUGAAUUGGUUGCCAAGAUGAUUUCCGAACAAUUGUUUGCACUGUCUGUGAAUUAGCAGAUAAAGGAAAAUUAUGCAUUCACUCACUGGAAAGUGUUUGCAUGCGUAUUAAAGGCAUAUUCAUACAAAUCUACACAGUUUGGUUUGUUUAGCUGCGGAGUUUAUAAAGAGUUAUGACGUCUCCCCACAGCUGACUCCAGACACGACGCUGUAUUGUUGUAACCCUCGUUUUUUGCACGCGAAUUUUCUCAAUGCUUUUCACUCGCUUUUUAUGCAACUUUGCUGGCCAGUUUCAUAUAAAAAGUUUAGGAAGUGCGCAGGCAGCUGACAGAAGACCCAACCUCCCGCGCUUUCCCCCUCAAACUCACGCCACUGCAUUUGCUAUUUGCAGAAAAAUCAAAAAUUCAAAAUCCCGCACUUCUUAUGAGUGACGACGCUUCAGCGACUCUCCCAGUCCUCCUCCUCCGCGGCGUCUCAUGACCAUUGUGGCCGCCAUCCACCUUGAAUUCCACGCUUGGUUAUUCAAUUGUUCGGCUGUUUUGUGGUGGGAUUGUUGGCCCGUUUCGCUGCUUGAGUGGUUGACUGCUUGCCAUAUUAUUUGCUGUUGUUUUUGCUCUUUUCGAUUCGCUCUCUGGUGCAAUAGUUUGCAUUGGUCUGGUUGGAGGAUUCGCUGACAUUCAAAUGGGGGCGCGUGUUGUUUUUCCUCGUACAUACAUAUGUAGUGAAAUUAAUUUUCUAAAUAUUCACAAAUGUGUUUAUGUGUGUGUUGUUGUUGCAUAUUUUUAUGCAUUGUGUUAUGAGUGGCUUUUGUGUUGCAUGCUUGGACGAUUGUGAAGGUCGCUGCACUUUGCGAACCAAUAACUUCCCUUUCGAGUGCUCGUAGUAAUUAUGUUCGUAUUGUAAAUUUGUAAUAAACACACACGUAAAACUAUUCAGCAAGUGUAAAAUUAUUGCGAUUCGCAUUCUUCAUAAUCAAAUAGGAAUCUGGAUUAAUAACACCACAUUUCCUGUAAUCUUCAGAUUAGAUUCAAGACAAUUUUCUUUGCCUCUUCCGUUGAUCUAACUCGCAAAACUUGACCUCAGGAACAUAAACCAGUCCUUCCUUUGAAUAUUACUUGACUCAGGAUUAAAUUUGUUCGAAAUAUUCAACAAAUAUAUAGUGUUCCAAGAAUCCAUAAUUUGUUACCAAUUUAUAUAAAGUUUUGGAACUUAAUCGAAUCGACAUACUGAUCACAAUAAGAUAAACCAUUAUUUAUACCGGGUAAACAUUGCAUAAAGUGACCGAAUUUAGAUUCCAACGGAAGCACACACUGAGAACAUAUCCAAAAGCUUAAAUCAUUUUACCUGAACCUAACUGAUUGUUUUGAUUUUUUAAGACCAUUUUUAAACAAGCUAGACUUCUAAAGGAGUUCGAUAGUUAAAAAAACCAAUUAUGUGACAUCAACAAAGGAAUCGUAUAAUAUACAUAAUUGAUAAUAGUGUAUUUGUUUAUAUAUUUCAUAAUUUUCAUAAAAAGUAACAUAAUAAUAAUUCAAUUUCCACAAUUUAUUUACCCACGAAACAUAAGUGUUUGCUAACUUAUCGAACUACCAGGGGCCCAUGAAAAUCACCAGAAUCACCUGCAAUAACAAACAUUGUACGCCGUUACGCGAAAAUACCUUCGGCAUACCUAUACUGACAUAGCGGAUAGUCAUAUUGGCACUGUUGUUGGGAUUUUUGUUUACAGGAAAAUGUUCACUAUUUGGGAAUGAUUUGGUAAACGAAACAAUUAGUCAUUGCUGAGAAGCCGCAUGGUGUGAACUGAAGCCGGAGAGGCCGACGAAUGAGCAAUAGAAAAAGUUCGACAUCCAGAUUCUGAAAUCCAGAACGAGGCAUUUAAUACUUAAGUUCAUUACAUUAUGGAACAAAGGAAGCUUUAUAAUAUUUCUUAAUGGAACUUGGAUGAUACUGCAAAACCAACCUAUACCGAUAUAAAUACCAUACAAAAGUGGCAAAUAUAUAUUAAAAAAACGUUUCAAUAUUUUUGAAAUUAAAUAUAAUUCUAUAAGAAACAUCUUGAAUUAUUUUGAACGAAUAAAAAAAACAUUUUUUUUUUUU